CAAAAAAUGAUGCAAAACGGGUGCAUUUCGGCACCUAAAUGCACUAUUUUCGGGUAGCGAAACUCGGGUGGAUUUUUUUGCAACGAACGCAUCCAAUCUACUCAUUGGACCCUAGAACAUGUUUGGGAGUGUUUUCGAGCAUUCGGUUCCGGCACGAAAAACGCUGCAAAAAUGGUGCAUUUCGGCACCCGAAUGCACUAUUUCCGGGUAGUGAAACUCUGGUGGACCUUUUCGCAACGAAUGCACCCAAUCUACCUCAUUAGACCCUAGAACAUGUUUGGGAGUGUUUUCGAUCAUUCGUUACGGCAUGAAAACCGAUGCAAAACGGGUGCAUUUCGGCACCGGAACGCACUAUUUCGGGGUAGCGAAACUCGGGUGGAUUUUUUCGCAACGAACGCACCCAAUCUACCUCAUUAGACCCUAGAACAUGUUUGGGAAUGUUUUCGAGCAUUCGGUUACAGCACCAAAAAUGAUGCAAAACGGGUGCAUUUCGGCACCCAAACACACUAUUUCCGGGUAGCGAAACUCGGGUGGAUUUUUUCGCAACGAACGCAUCCAAUCUAAUCAUUGGACCCUAGAACAUGUUUGGGAGUGUUUUCGAGCAUUCGGUUCUGGCACGAAAAAUGAUGCAAAAAUGGUGCAUUUCGGCACCCGAAUGCACUAUUUCCGGGUAGUGAAACUCUGGUGGACCUUUUCGCAACGAAUGCAUCCAAUCUACCUCAUCAGACCCUAGAACAUGUUUGGGAGUGUUUUCGAGCAUUCGGUUCUGGCACGAAAAAUGAUGCUAAACGGGUGCAUUUCGGCACCCGAAUGCACUAUUUCCAGGUAGUGAAACUCUGGUAGACCUUUCCGCAACAAAUACACCCAAUCUACCUCAUUAGACCCUAGAACAUGCAUGAAAAGCGAUGCAGAACGGGUGCACUUCGGCACCCGAAUGCACUAUUUCCGCCUAGCGAAACUCGAGUGGAUUUUUUCACAACGAGCGUGUCCAACCUACCUCAUUAGACCCAAGAACAUGUUUGGGAAUGUUUUCGAGCAUUCGGUUACGGCACGAAAACGAUGCAAAACGGGUGCAUUUCGGCACCCGAAUGCAUAUUGCCGGGUAGCGAAACUCGGGUGGAUUUUUUCGCAACGAACACAUGCAAUCUUCCUAAUUAUACCCUAUAACAUGUUUGGGAGUGUUUUUGAGUAUUCGGUUCCGGCACGAAAAACGAUGCAAAACGGGUGCAUUUCGGCACCCGAAUGCACUAUUUCCGGGUAGCGAAACUCGGGUGGAUUUUCUCACAACGAAUGCAUCCAAUCUUCCUAAUUAUACCCUAGAACAUGUUUGGGAGUGUUUCUGAGCAUUCGGUUUCGGAACGAAAAAUGAUGCAAAACGGGUGCAUUUCGGCACCCGAAUGCAUAUUGCCGGGUAGCGAAACUCGGGUGGAUUUUUUCGCAACGAACGCAUGCAAUCUUCCUAAUUAUACCCUAGAACAUGUUUGGGAGUAUUUUUGAGCUUUCGGUUCCGGAAGGAAAAAUGAUGCAAAACGGGUGCAUUUCGGCACCCGAAUGCACUUUCUCCGUGUAGCGAAACUCGGGUGGAUUUUUUCGCAACGAACGCAUGCAAUCUUCCUAAUUAUACCCUAGAACAUGUUUGGGAGUGUUUUCGAGCAUUCGGUUCCGGAACGAAAAAUGAUGCAAAACGGGUGCAUUUCGACACCCGAAUGCACUUUUUCCGUGUAGCGAAACUCGGGUGGAUUUUUUCGCAACGAACGCAUGCAAUCUUCCUAAUUAUACCCUAGAACAUGUUUGGGAGUGUUUUUGGGCAUUCGGUUCCGGAACGAAAAAUGAUGCGAAACGGGUGCAUUUCGGCACCCGAAUGCAUAUUGCCGGGUAGCGAAACUCGGGUGGAUUUUUUCGCAACGAACGCAUGCAAUCUUCCUAAUUAUACCCUAGAACAUGUUUGGGAGUGUUUUUGAGCAUUCGGUUCCGGAACGAAAAAUGAUGCAAAACGGGUGCAUUUCGGCACCCGAAUGCAUAUUGCCGGGUAGCGAAACUCGGGUGGAUUUUUUCGCGACGAACGCAUGCUAUCUUCCUAAUUAGACCCUAGAACAUGUUUGGGAGUGUUUUUGAGCAUUCGGUUCCGGAACGAAAAAUGAUGCAAAAUGGGUGCAUUUCGGCACCCGAAUGCCCUUUCUCCGUGUAGUGAAAAUCGGGUGGAUUUUUUCGCAACGAACGCAUGCAAUCUUCCUAAUUAUACCCUAGAACAUGUUUGGGAGUGUUUUUGAGCAUUCGGUUCCGGAACGAAAAAUGAUGCAAAAUGGGUGCAUUUCGGCACCCGAAUGCACUUUUUCCGUGUAGCCAAGAUCAGGUGGAUUUUUUCGCAACGAACGCAUGCAGUCUUCCUAAUUAUACCCUAGAACAUGUUUGGGAGUGUUUUUGAGCAUUCGGUUCCGGAACGAAAAACGAUGCAAAACGGGUGCAUUUCAGCACCCGAAUGCACUUUUUCCGUGUAGCGAAACUCGGGUGGAUUUUUUCGCAACGAACGCAUGCAAUCUUCGUAAUUAUAUCCUAGAACAUGUUUGGGAGUGUUUUUGAGCAUUCGGUUCUGGAACGAAAAAUGAUGCAAAACGGGUGCAUUUCGGCAUCCGAAUGCACUAUUUCCGGGUAGCGAAACUUGGGUGGAUUUUUUCGCAACGAACGCACCCAAUCUACCUCAUUAGACCUUAGAACAUGUUUGGGAUUGUUUUCGAGCAUUCGGUUCCGUCACGAAAAAUGAUGCAAAACGAGUGGAUUUCGGCACCCGAAUGCACUAUUUUCGGGUAGCGAAACUCAGGUGGAUUUUUUCGCAACGAACGCAUCCAAUCUACCUAAUUAGACCCUAGAACAUGUUCAGAAGUGUUUCCGAGCAUUCGGUUCCGUCACGAAAAAUGAUGCAAAAAUAGUGGAUUUCGGCACCCAAAUCCACUAUUUCCAGGUAGCGAAACUCGUGUUAAUUUUCUCGCAACGAACGCAUCCAAUCUACCUCAUUAGACCGUAGAACAUGUUUGGGAGUGUUUUUGAGCAUUCGGUUUCGGCACGAAAAAUGAUGCAAAACGAGUGGAUUUCGGCACCCGAAUGCACUAUUUCCGGGUAGCGAAACUCGGGUGGAUUUUUUCGCAACGAACGCAUGCAAUCUUCCUAAUUAUACCCUAGAGCAUGUUUGGGAGUGUUUUUGAGCAUUCGGUUCCGGCACGAAAAAUGAUGCAAAACGGGUGCAUUUCAGCACCCGAAUGCACUAUUUCGGGGUAGCGAAACUCAGGUGGAUUUUUUCGCAACGAACGCAUGCAAUCUACCUAAUUAUACCCUAGAACAUGUUUGGGAGUGUUUUUGGGCAUUCGGUUCCGGCACGAAAAACGAUGCAAAACGGGAGCAUUUCGGCACCCAAACACACUAUUUCCGGGUAGCGAAACUCGGGUGGAUUUUUUCGCAACGAACGCAUGCAAUCUUCCUAAUUAUACCCUGGAACAUGUUUGGGAGUGUUUUUGAGCAUUCGGUUCCGGAACGAAAAAUGAUGCAAAACGGGUGCAUUUCGGCACCCGAAUGCACUUUCUCCGUGUAGCGAAAAUCGGGUGGAUUUUUUCGCAACGAACGCAUGCAAUCUUCCUAAUUAUACCCUAGAACAUGUUUGGGAGUGUUUUUGAGCAUUCGGUUCUGGAACGAAAAAUGAUGGAAAACGGGUGCAUUUCGGCACCCGAAUGCACUUUUUCCGUGUAGCGAAAAUCGGGUGGAUUUUUUUGCAACGAACGCAUGCAAUCUUCCUAAUUAUACCCUAGAGCAUGUUUGGGAGUGUUUUUGAGCAUUCGGUUCCGGAACGAAAAAUGAUGCAAAACGGGUGCAUUUCGGCACCCGAAUGCAUAUUGCCGGGUAGCGAAACUCGUGUGGAUUUUUUCGCAACGAACGCAUGCAAUCUUCCUAAUUAUACCCUAGAACAUGUUCAGAAGUGUUUCUGAGCAUUCGGUUCCGGCACGAAAAAUGAUGCAAAACGGGUGCAUUUCAGCACCCGAAUGCACUAUUUCGGGGUAGCGAAACUCAGGUGGAUUUUUUCGCAACGAACGCAUGCAAUCUACCUAAUUAUACCCUAGAACAUGUUUGGGAGUGUUUUUGGGCAUUCGGUUCCGGCACGAAAAACGAUGCAAAACGGGAGCAUUUCGGCACCCAAACACACUAUUUCCGGGUAGCGAAACUCGGGUGGAUUUUUUCGCAACGAACGCAUGCAAUCUUCCUAAUUAUACCCUGGAACAUGUUUGGGAGUGUUUUUGAGCAUUCGGUUCCGGAACGAAAAAUGAUGCAAAACGGGUGCAUUUCGGCACCCGAAUGCACUUUCUCCGUGUAGCGAAAAUCGGGUGGAUUUUUUCGCAACGAACGCAUGCAAUCUUCCUAAUUAUACCCUGGAACAUGUUUGGGAGUGUUUUUGAGCAUUCGGUUCCGGAAUGAAAAAUGAUGGAAAACGGGUGCAUUUCGGCACCCGAAUGCACUUUUUUCGUGUAGCGAAAAUCGGGUGGAUUUUUUUGCAACGAACGCAUGCAAUCUUCCUAAUUAUACCCUAGAGCAUGUUUGGGAGUGUUUUUGAGCAUUCGGUUCCGGAACGAAAAAUGAUGCAAAACGGGUGCAUUUCGGCACCCGAAUGCAUAUUGCCGGGUAGCGAAACUCGGGUGGAUUUUUUCGCAACGAACGCAUGCAAUCUUCCUAAUUAUACCCUAGAACAUGUUCAGAAGUGUUUCUGAGCAUUCGGUUCCGGCACGAAAAAUGAUGCAAAACGGGUGCAUUUCAGCACCCGAAUGCACUAUUUCUGGGUAGCGAAACUCGUGUGGAUUUUUUCGCAACGAACGCAUGCAAUCUUCCUAAUUAUACCCUAGAACAUGUUUGGAAAUGUUUUUGAGCAUUCGGUUCCGGCACGAAAAACGAUGCAAAACGGGUGCAAUACGGCACCCGAAUGCUAUAUUUCCGGGUAGCGAAAGUCGGGUGGAUUUUUUCGCAACGAACGCAUGCAAUCUUCCUAAUUAUACCCUAGAACAUGUUUGGGAGUGUUUUUAGGCAUUCGGUCUCGGCACGAAAAAUGAUGCAAAACGGGUGCAUUUCGACAUCCGAAUGCACUAUUUCCGGGUAGCGAAACUCGGGUGGAUUUUUUCGCAAUGAACGCACCCAAUCUACCUCAUUAGACCCUAGAACUUGUUUGGGAUUGUUUUCGAGCAUUCAGUUCCGUCACGAAAAAUGAUGCAAAACGAGUGGAUUUCGGCACCCGAAUGCACUAUUUGCGGGUAGCGAAACUCGGGUGGAUUUUUUCGCAACGAACGCAUGCAAUCUUCCUAAUUAUACCCUAGAACAUGUUUGGGAGUGUUUUUGAGCAUUCGGUUCCGGAACGAAAAAUGAUGCAAAACGGGUGCAUUUCGGCACCCGAAUGCAUAUUGCUGGGUAGCGAAACUCGGGUGGAUUUUUUCGCAACGAACGCAUGCAAUCUUCCUAAUUAUACCCUAGAACAUGUUUGGGAGUGUUUUUGAGCAUUCGGUUCCGGAACGAAAAAUGAUGCAAGACGGGUGCAUUUCGGCACCCGAAUGCAU
rnacentral:lncRNA from 1 species